rnacentral:rRNA from 1 species
UGGCGACCGGCGCACGGGUGAGUAACACGUAUCCAACCUGCCGAUAACUCGGGGAUAGCCUUUCGAAAGAAAGAUUAAUAUCCGAUAGGAUAUCAAGGUCGCAUGAUCUUGAUAUUAAAGAAUUUCGGUUAUCGAUGGGGAUGCGUUCCAUUAGCUAGUUGGCGGGGUAACGGCCCACCAAGACGACGAUGGAUAGGGGUUCUGAGAGGAAGGUCCCCCACAUUGGAACUGAGACACGGUCCAAACUCCUACGGAAGGCAGCAG